CUAACGCCGCCGCGGCGCGGCCCAGGCCACAGGCCCCGACAGCUGCGCAGAAUUAAGCGCAAAGAUAAACUGUGAAGGCACUUUCAAAGCUGCUGCGGAGGAAGGAAAUGCAUUUCUGCCUGCAGUUGUAAUGCAGGGCUUGUGCAGAGAGAGAUGAAGCAUGAAGCCAAGGUCAGCUGAUGCUUUUUGGAUCAGGGACUGAUGCAGCACUGAGACCUUAAUGUGAUCUGUGCUCUAGGUUUGGAGCUAUGUGAGGGCUGCAUUCCAGAGCUUUGCUGUACAGUGGAAACAUCAAACUCAUAGAUGCAAGAAAGAAUGUGAUGGUUCAUGGUCUUCCUGACAGUAAUAAAAUUAAAA